rnacentral:rRNA from 1 species
CCUACGGGAGGCAGCAGGGAGGAAUAUGGGGCAAUGGAAGGAAGGAGGAACAAGACAAGGAGAGAGAAGGACGAAGGUGCCAAGCAUUGUAAACUUCUUUUGUCAAGGGACAAAAUCAGGCUCGAGAGCCUGACCGAGGGUACUUGAAGAAAAAGCAUCGGCUAACUCCGUGCCAGCAGCCGCGGUAAUACGGAGGAUGCGAGCGUUAUCCGGAUUUAUUGGGUUUAAAGGGUGCGUAGGCGGACUGUUAAGUCAGCGGUAAAAGCCCGGGGCUCAACCCCGGCGAGCCGUUGAAACUGGCUGUCUUGAGAUGUCGAGAGGUAUGCGGAAUGCGCAGUGUAGCGGUGAAAUGCUUAGAUAUUGCGCAGAACUCCGAUUGCGAAGGCAGCAUACCGGCGGCGAUCUGACGCUGAGGCACGAAAGCGUGGGUAUCGAACAGGAUUAGAUACCCUGGUAGUC